rnacentral:rRNA from 1 species
AGAGUUUGAUCAUGGCUCAGGAUGAACGUUGGCGGCGUGCCUAAUACAUGCAAGUCGAACGAAGACCGUAGUAAUACUGUCUUAGUGGCGAACGGGUGAGUAACGCGUGGGUGACCUGCCCCGAAGUGUGAGAUAACAGUUCGAAAGGACUGCUAAUACCGCAUAAUAUCCAAGAGAUUAGACGCUUUUGGAUUAAAGGAGUAAUUCGCUUCGGGAGGGGCCCGCGUCCCAUCAGCUAGUUGGUAAGGUAAUGGCUUACCAAGGCGAUGACGGGUAGGGGACCUGAGAGGGUGGCCCCCCACAAUGGAACUGAAACACGGUCCAUACACCUACGGGUGGCAGCAGUAGGGAAUAUUAGUAAUGGGCGAAAGCCUGAACUAGCAACGCCGCGUGUGCGAAGAAGGCCUUCGGGUUGUAAAGCACUUUUUGAGAGGAUGAGGAAGGACGGUACUCUCAGAAUAAGUCUCGGCUAACUACGUGCCAGCAGCCGCGGUAACACGUAGGAGGCAAACGUUAUCCGGAUUUACUGGGCGUAAAGCGCGUGUAGGUGGUUUGGUAAGUAGGGCGUGAAAGCUCCUGGCUCAACUGGGAGAGGACGUUCUAAACUACCAAGCUUGAGGAUGGUAGAGGGAGGUGGAAUUCCGGGUGUAGCGGUGGAAUGCGCAGAUAUCCGGAGGAACACCAGUGGCGAAGGCGGCCUCCUGGACCAUUCCUGACACUCAGACGCGAAAGCUAGGGUAGCAAACGGGAUUAGAGACCCCGGUAGUCCUAGCCCUAAACGAUGUAGACUUGGCGUCGGUGGUUUAAACGCCAUCGGUGUCGGAGCUAACGCGUUAAGUCUACCGCCUGGGGACUACGGCCGCAAGGUUAAAACUCAAAUGAAUUGACGG